CCUACGGGUGGCAGCAGUGGGGAAUAUUGGACAAUGGGGGGAACCCUGAUCCAGCCAUGCCGCGUGUGUGAAGAAGGCCCUCGGGUUGUAAAGCACUUUCAGUGAGGAAGAACGCCUGGUGGUUAAUACCCAUCAGGAAAGACAUCACUCACAGAAGAAGCACCGGCUAACUCCGUGCCAGCAGCCGCGGUAAUACGGAGGGUGCGAGCGUUAAUCGGAAUUACUGGGCGUAAAGCGCGCGUAGGUGGCUUGAUAAGCCGGUUGUGAAAGCCCCGGGCUCAACCUGGGAACGGCAUCCGGAACUGUCAAGCUAGAGUGCAGGAGAGGAAGGUAGAAUUCCCGGUGUAGCGGUGAAAUGCGUAGAGAUCGGGAGGAAUACCAGUGGCGAAGGCGGCCUUCUGGACUGACACUGACACUGAGGUGCGAAAGCGUGGGUAGCGAACAGGAUUAGAUACCCGAGUAGUC
rnacentral:rRNA from 1 species